CCUACGGGAGGCAGCAGUGAGGAAUAUUGGUCAAUGGGCGAGAGCCUGAACCAGCCAAGUCGCGUGAGGGAAGACGGUCCUAUGGAUUGUAAACCUCUUUUGCCGGGGAGCAAAAAGCGGUACGUGUACCGCAUCGAGAGUACCCGGCGAACAAGCAUCGGCUAACUCCGUGCCAGCAGCCGCGGUAAUACGGAGGAUGCGAGCGUUAUCCGGAUUUAUUGGGUUUAAAGGGUGCGCAGGCGGCGAGUUAAGUCAGCGGUAAAAUUUCGGGGCUCAACCCCGACAAGCCGUUGAAACUGGCGUGCUAGAGUGGGCGAGAAGUAGGCGGAAUGCGUGGUGUAGCGGUGAAAUGCAUAGAUAUCACGCAGAACUCCGAUUGCGAAGGCAGCAUACCGGCGCCCAACUGACGCUCAGGCACGAAAGCGUGGGUAUCGAACAGGAUUAGAUACCCGAGUAGUC
rnacentral:rRNA from 1 species